rnacentral:rRNA from 1 species
GGUUGAUCCUGCCAGUAGCAUAUGCUUGUCUCUGAGACUAAGCCAUGCAUGUCUAAGUAUAAACCAUUCUAUACCGGUGAAACUGCGGACGGCUCAUUAAAUCAGUUACAAUCUACUCGAUCUCGUAUAAAACACUCGGGUAACCCUAGUAAUUCUAGAGCUAAUACGUGCAAAAAAUCCCAAACUAUCUUCCCCUUCACGGGGGGGGAUGGAAAGGGAGUAUUUAUUAGGUAAAAAAUCAAUGCGGAGUUUCGGCUUCGGUAAAGAGAUGAUUCACGAUAACUAAACGAAU